ACCCAGCAUGGCGCCAAGGCGCGAGGAGCCCCGCGGGGAAAGAAGCAUUUGAAGUCCGGAAGCACAGGACGUGCGACCUUCAGCCUUUGCGCCCACUUGGGCGCCACCAGCCCCGCAGAAGUAGGUGGGAAUGGAGCUGUCCCGCUCCAGAGACCUCUCCUUCCGCCUCACCACGGAGCAAAUUCUGUGCAGCCUAAGAGAAUAAACGCAUGCGGAAGAGAGGGCGUUUCAGACGCCAGUUUCCAACCGACAGAUCCACCUUGUACUUCUCUGAUGCCAUUCACGGGCAUUUCUCCUCAAAGGACUUCAUCUAUAACAUCCUCAUCAUUAAAAAAAGGCCUUGUGUACUCUUGGGCAGGUUCAGUUGGUCUGAACGUUUUCUGAAAGAAUGUGAUGAGAAAAUUCGAGAAGAGCAUGAAGAACUCGAGCACAAAACUGGCAGAACAGGGUGAUGAAUUUGUGAAGUUCACGCUUGGUGAAUAAUGUGUCGCUCUGGCGCUGGCCCUUCCGUUUCAUGACUCACACAUUCUGCAUUUGCCGCUGCUUUAUUCCUUGCUGACUUAUUGCAAAGCGUCCAAAUUUUGACAUGACACAAUGCCAGGAUCCCUCGGAACCUACAUUCUUAUUGAAAAUACACACUAUUCAGAUCAGUACUAAGAGAGAUUUCUGUUCUAUCUCAUCAGAGUCCCAUAAGGAGGUUCCUUCUCUGUCUUCCGAGCCCUGAAGAGACAUUUUUUGGUAGGUUUUUAUUCUCAGAUCUCAGCUGCUGUUGAAUUAAAAUUUAAACUACUUUUGAGUAUUUUUUUCUUAUCCACAAUAUUAUUCAAAAUUUAUUUAAAGAAAUAA